UACGUAGGGGGGCUAGCGUUGUCCGGAAUCAUUGGGCGUAAAGAGCGUGUAGGCGGCCCGGUAAGUCCGCUGUAAAAGUCAAAGGCUCAACCUUUGAAUGUCAGUGGAUACUGUCGGGCUAGAGUCCGGAAGAGGCGAGUGGAACUCCUGGUGUAGCGGUGGAAUGCGCAGAUAUCAGGAAGAACACCAACGGCGAAGGCAGCUCGCUAGGACGGUACUGACGCCUGAGACGCGAAAGCGUGGGGAGCGAACAGG
rnacentral:rRNA from 1 species